rnacentral:rRNA from 1 species
CAGCCGCCGCGGGAAUACGAAGGGUGCAAGCGUUAAUCGGAAUUACUGGGCGUAAAGCGUGCGUAGGCGGUGAGUUAAGUCUGCUGUGAAAUCCCCGGGCUCAACCUGGGAAUGGCAGUGGAUACUGGCUCGCUAGAGUGUGUCAGAGGAUGGUGGAAUUCCGCGUGUAGCAGUGAAAUGCGUAGAUAUGCGGAGGAACACCGAUGGCGAAGGCAGCCCCCUGGGCCAACACUGACGCUCAUGCACGAAAGCGUGGGGAGCAAACAGGAUUAGAUACCCCCGUAGUCCCUGUCUCUUAUAC